CGCCUCUUGCUUUCCCAGUAUAAGAGGUCCUGCCUGCCCCGUGACCAUGUGUUCAACGGCCGCGGUAUUUUGACCGUGCAAAGGUAGCGCAAUCACUUGUCUUUUAAAUGAAGACCCGUAUGAACGGCAAGACGAGGGCUUAGCUGUCUCCCCCCCUCGGUCAAUGAAAUUGUUCCCCCCGUGCAGAAGCGGGGAUACCCCCAUAAGACGAGAAGACCCUAUGGAGCUUUAGAUGAACAGGUGACCCACUCUAAUAAGUCUGCCUUAAGAGAACCAACCUCGUUGGAACUCACCUGUAUGUCUUCGGUUGGGGCGACCGCGGGGUAAAGAAAAACCCCCGUGUGGAUACGGGUUACCACCCUACAGACAAGAGAUUCAACUCCAAGCACCAAAAUUUUUGACCAGUGAUCCGGCAAAGCCGAUCAACGAACCUAGUUACCCUAGGGAUAACAGCGCAAUCCCCUCUAAGAGCCCUUAUCGACGAGGGGGUUUACGACCUCGAUGUUGGAUCAGGGCAUCCUAAUGGUGAAGCCGCUAUUAAGGGUUCGUUU
rnacentral:rRNA from 1 species